GAGUUUGAUCCUGGCUCAGGACGAACGCUGGCGGCGUGCUUAACACAUGCAAGUCGAACGGUGAAGCCCUUCGGGGUGGAUCAGUGGCGAACGGGUGAGUAACACGUGAGCAACCUGCCCUUCACUCUGGGAUAACUCCGGGAAACCGGUGCUAAUACCGGAUACGAGUAUCGGCCUCAUGGUCUGGUGCUGGAAAGAAUUUUGGUGAGAGAUGGGCUCGCGGCCUAUCAGCUUGUUGGUGAGGUAAUGGCUCACCAAGGCGACGACGGGUAGCCGGCCUGAGAGGGCGACCGGCCACACUGGGACUGAGACACGGCCCAGACUCCUACGGGAGGCAGCAGUGGGGAAUAUUGCACAAUGGGCGAAAGCCUGAUGCAGCGACGCCGCGUGAGGGAUGACGGCCUUCGGGUUGUAAACCUCUUUCAGCUCCGAAGAAGCGAGAGUGACGGUAGGAGCAGAAGAAGCACCGGCUAACUACGUGCCAGCAGCCGCGGUAAUACGUAGGGUGCAAGCGUUGUCCGGAAUUAUUGGGCGUAAAGAGCUCGUAGGUGGUUCGUCGCGUCUGCUGUGAAAGUCCGAGGCUUAACCUCGGAUCUGCAGUGGGUACGGGCGGACUAGAGUGCGGUAGAGGAGAUGGGAAUUCCUGGUGUAGCGGUGGAAUGCGCAGAUAUCAGGAGGAACACCGGUGGCGAAGGCGCAUCUCUGGGCCGUAACUGACGCUGAGGAGCGAAAGCCAUGGGGAGCGAACAGGCUUAGAUACCCUGGUAGUCCAUGCCGUAAACGUUGGGCGCUAGGUGUGGGGUCCU
rnacentral:rRNA from 1 species